CCACGCCUCCGACGGAGGAAACAAUGUUUGGUCUUUACUUGUUGGGGUGUGGGACAUUCACGAUUGACGCACACUGCUGCACUGCCACGGGAAAACAAAGGCCCAUUAAAAUUGCCAAGUUCUCACGGCAUGCUCAACAUCAUUGAAGGCCUGUAGAACAAAAGGAACAGUUGCUGUGGUACUUUCGACUGGAGCGAGAAAGAAGUGUACUAUACUGCAUAUAAUAACACCAAGGUCUGCAGCCUUUUGUCUAAGACUAUCAGUGUCGCAGGAAUAACUGGAGCAGGAGUUGCAGGGCCUUAGCCAAGCUAGAAGAGUUCAAGGGACAUGGCCACCAUCUGUCCUCCGUUUCCCCGCCAGCGAAAGAAGAUUGCUGGAACAAAUCCGAUGGCUUCCGUUGGACGGAAAACGUUGAGAACUAUUUUAGUUGACUUUUUUCUCUUUCAUUUUUUAAUGCAUGUUAUUUAGAAUCUUUGUUUUGAUUGUUUAUUAUUAAACAUCCUGUUGAAUUCUUUUUUUUUUUUUUUAGCUGGAAUUAAAUCAUUUAAACAACUGUAGGUAUAUUUUUCUUAACAUAGGCCCACUGAUUUUUAUUCAUUAAUUCAUUAGUAGAUCGUAAACUUUUUUUUUUUAACAAAUGUUUAUUGUGGUCUAAACUUCGGUUUCUAUACAUCUACUGUAUGUUUUCAUAAAAAUGGCAUGGCUUUAGAAAUGACACUUAUUCAUUGUUAAAUGUGAACUUGUAUCAAUAAAAGGAUGGAACAAUCAA